GACGAACGCUGGCGGCGUGCUUAACACAUGCAAGUCGAACGGAAAGGCCCUGCUUUUGUGGGGUGCUCGAGUGGCGAACGGGUGAGUAACACGUGAGUAACCUGCCCUUGACUUUGGGAUAACUUCAGGAAACUGGGGCUAAUACCGGAUCGGAGCUCCUGCUGCAUGGUGGGGGUUGGAUAGUUUCGGCGGUUGGGGAUGGACUCGCGGCUUAUCAGCUUGUUGGUGGGGGAGUGGCUUACCAAGGCUUUGACGGGUAGCCGGCCUGUGAGGGUGACCGGCCACAUGGGGACUGAGAUACGGACCAGACUGCAACGGGAGGCAGCAGGGGGGAGUAUUGCACAGUAAGCGGGAGCCUGAUGCAGCAACGCCGCGUGCGGGAUGACGGCCUUCGGGUUGUAAACCGCUUUCGCCUGUGACGAAGCGUGAGUGACGGUAAUGGGUAAAGAAGCACCGGCUAACUACGUG
rnacentral:rRNA from 1 species